UACAGAGGUCUCAAGCGUUGUUCGGAUUCAUUGGGCGUAAAGGGUGCGUAGGCGGCGCGGUAAGUCGGGUGUGAAAUCUCGGGGCUUAACUCCGAAACUGCAUUCGAUACUGCCGUGCUUGAGGACUGGAGAGGAGACUGGAAUUUACGGUGUAGCGGUGAAAUGCGUAGAUAUCGAGAGGAACACCGGUGGCGAAGGCGGCUUCCUGGACAGUGACUGACGCUGAGACGCGAAAGCGUGGGGAGCAAACAGG
rnacentral:rRNA from 1 species